UACCUGCAGCUCUAGUGGUGGCCGCUAUUAUUGGGCCUAAAACGUCCGCAGCCUGCUUAUUAAAUGCCUAGGUAAAUUGUGUGGCUUAACCAUACGAAUUCUGGGUAGACUGGUAAACUUGAGACCGGGAGAAGCUAGAGGUACUUCUGGGGUAGAGGUGAAAUUCUGUAAUCCUAGGGGGACCACCAGUGGCGAAAGCGUCUAGCUAGAACGGGUUUGACGGUGAGGGACGAAGCCCUGGGGCGCAAACGGGAUUAGAUACCCCGGUAGUCCAGGGUGUAAACGCUGCUUGCUUGAUGUUGGUUGGGCUCCGAGCCCAAUCAGUGUCGGAGAGAAGUUGUUAAGCAAGCUGCCUGGGAAUUACGGUCGCAAGACUGAAACUUAAGGAAUUGGCGGGGAGCACCGCAACGGGAGGAGCGUGCGGUUU
rnacentral:rRNA from 1 species